UGGAAUUUCCGUCCUUCAGGAUGCGCGCAGCCUGUGUAUGCCGACCAAGUUGAAUUGAAGAGGAGAGAAAUUCAUAGCAAGCCUCGACUCUCAGCCACCCUUCUCUGUCUUGGUAGAGUAGGUCAGGUUUGGGGGUUAGGGUUUUGGGAUUCAUCUAGCAUUGCAUGAUAGAGUUGGGAGAAGAGGAGAGGCAUAUGACAACAGCUAUUCGGUCUGUGGUUGGAAAGUUGGGGAGUAAAUACUCUUCAUGUUGUCACAGCAAAGGAAGAACAGUAGCAAACAUGGUUAGGGUUGGGGACUUUCAAAUUAGGAGCUCAGUAGUCAGCAACUACAAUAUUGACCGUGAUGUCUUGUUUUCAAUUUCAAAGCCGCCUCCUUCUUAUGGUUAUUCCUCUCGCCAUCCUUUUCUUUUUGGUAACCACCAUAAGAAAGCUCCGCCAGUUCUGCAUCUGGAAUAUUUUAAGUGGUCCCGUGGAUUAGCAGGUAAUCAUCGUGUAGCUCCGUAUUCUAUGGAUCAUCCCAAUACCAUAGCUCUUGCCAUUUUCGCUGUGAGAGAGUACAACA